CGGCCGUUGAAGAGAAUACAAGAUGGCGGCGGGCAGCAGGUUUGUGUUCAACUUACCUUUGCUACAGACUAUUGCGUGGUCUGCGAAGCAGCUAAGAAAGUACUUAGACAAGCGAGUUCGCCUACAUAUGGUACAGAACUAUAAAGUUACUAGAACUGCAGCAAUCCAGAAGCUGUCUGGCUUUGAAGAGGGUAUGAAGUCUGUCUUCCAGAAAGUCUGGAAAAUAACAGUACCCUCAACCAAUUCAUAA
rnacentral:lncRNA from 1 species